rnacentral:pre_miRNA from 1 species
ACGAGGUGGACUUGAGACAGAACUCAUGAAGAUUCUCGCCCAUUUCUCCCUUGCAC